UAGGCCUGCCUCACAGAAACCUGCCACAUGUGUCCUGCCACUUUUGCUUCAUGCAGACAAACCACGUGUUAAUGAUGGAGCCACAAGAUGCCAUGUACCUGUCUUUGCUCAUAAUUGUGGACACACACAGCACUGAGAGAGGCGUUCUUAAAGAUUUCUCAAAGGAGAGGAAGAAGUAAAAAGAAGAUGGUGAAAUAGCUUCCCAAUGAUAAAUCGGGAGUCCUAACCUAAAAUAAAAUAGAACAUACUGUGCUUAAAGCAAGGGGGGAAUCAUGUAACAAUAAAACCAGUGAAGAAAAUUCUAAUGCUCAGGUAAGAAAAAGUGGAAAACAGCUGGUCCUCAGGAUCCUCCAGCCUUUGCCAAGGAAAAGUGGUUUUAAUCACUGAAGAAUGAGGCUUCAACAUAUGGAAAGACUGUAAGGUGUUCCUGGACAGCAAGUGAGUGACUUGCUCACAGGCGGUAAUUCAGGGACCCAGGUUUCUUCUACCUGGUAGCUCUACUGUCCUUCAGAACCUCAGAGCCCUGUGCAUUCAGCCAGCAGGAGAAAGACCACUACUAAGGUCAUUCACUUUGGGAGAAGCCAGUCUUCAUGCCAUGAGGACGUUCAGGCAGCCCUGUGGAGAGAACCACAUGGAAAGGAUCUGAGGUCUCUCACCAGCACCAAUUUGCCAGCUAUGGGAAUGGGCCACCUUGGAAGGAGACUGUCCAGCCCAAGUGAAGGCUGCAGAUAACUGCAGCUUUGGCCAACAUUUGGCUAUAUUGCUUUGGGAAAUCUCAAGCCAGAACCAUCUGGCCAAGCUGCUCUUAAAUUCCUGAUCCACAGAAGUUUUGGAAGGUAACAAGACACACAAUUCUUACAGAUCCCUCAAGAGCUGUUUGAAAAAUAGUGGAUUUUAAAAUCUAGAAGGAGUGUGAAAGGAACCCAGGGGCUUUGCCAAUGGAGUGUCAUCAUUCAGGCCCCAUUUUGAAUCUAAACCAUCUGAUGAACCCUUUGCUGACACAUCAGCCUAUUGCUUCCUGGAAGAAUAAUUUGCACUUCAAGACUAAUUCUGAAACAAUACAAUUGCAAGGAGGAAACACAUUUGGAGUAGAGAAAUUAUAUAUGUAUAUAAAACUUAUUAUCUAACCAGGACAUAUUUGAGGUGCCAGACUAUGUGAGUGAGUGUGCUUUCACAUGACUUCAAUCCCAGCCGUCUGCAUCCAUCUGAGAGAUCCUGAGCCAAAACCUGCCCAACCAAGUCACUCCUGAG
rnacentral:lncRNA from 1 species